CCUACGGGCGGCUGCAGUGGGGGAUAUUGCACAAUGGGGGAAACCCUGAUGCAGCGACGCCGCGUGGGUGAAGAAGCGCCUCGGCGCGUAAAGCCCUGUCAGCAGGGAAGAAAAUGACGGUACCUGAAGAAGAAGCCCCGGCUAACUACGUGCCAGCAGCCGCGGUAAUACGUAGGGGGCAAGCGUUAUCCGGAUUGACUGGGUGUAAAGGGGGCGCAGACGGCGAUGCAAGCCAGGAGUGAAAGCCCGGGGCCCAACCCCGGGACUGCUCUGGGAACUGCGUGGCUAGAGUGCUGGAGGGGCAGGCGGAAUUCCUAGUGUAGCGGUGAAAGGCGUAGAUAUUAGGAGGAACACCAGUGGCGAAGGCGGCCUGCUGGACAGUAACUGACGUUGAGGCUCGAAAGCGUGGGGAGCAAACAGGAUUAGAGACCCCUGUAGUC
rnacentral:rRNA from 1 species